rnacentral:sRNA from 1 species
AGCCUGAAGCGGAAGUGGAGGAAAGAUGGAGGUGUGGGGACAGGAGAUGGGACCAUCAGCACGUGCCCAUCGACAUCCAGACCAGCAAGCUGCUCGAUUGGCUGGUGGACAGAAGGCACUGCAGCCUGAAAUGGCAGAGUCUGGUGCUGACGAUCCGCGAGAAGAUCAAUGCUGCCAUCCAGGAUAUGCCAGAGAGCGAAGAGAUCGCCCAGCUGCUGUCUGGGUCCUGUGAGUGCUUAGGGGCUGUCACUGGAGUCCCCUCUUUGCUGAGACAUUCACUACUUUCACUGCCUAAGAAUCCUGGACCUUCUCAAAGGCACAGAGGCCUCCACGAAAAAUAUUUUUGGCCGAUACUCUUCACAGCGGAUGAAG